AGAGUUUGAUCCUGGCUCAGAACGAACGCUGGCGGCGUGCCUAACACAUGCAAGUCGAACGCGAAAGUCCUUCGGGAUGAGUAAAGUGGCGCACGGGUGAGUAACACGUAGGUGACCUGCCUUUUAGAGGGGAAUAACCAGAUGAAAAUUUGGCUAAUGCCGCAUACGAAGCAAUAAUAUAAUAGUAAUGCUUGAAAGGAUGCCUCUGUAUAUGCAUCCACUAAAAGAUGGGCCUGCGGAACAUUAGCUAGUUGGUGGGGUAAAGGCCUACCAAGGCAACGAUGUUUAUCCGGUCUGAGAGGAUGAUCGGACACACUGGAACUGAGACACGGUCCAGACUCCUACGGGAGGCAGCAGUGGGGAAUAUUGCGCAAUGGGGGAAACCCUGACGCAGCAACGCCGCGUGAGUGAGGAAGGACUUCGGUCUGUAAAGCUCUGUUAAUGAGGAAAAAUGGUAGUUGGUCUAAUAGGCCGAUUAUUUGAUGGUACUCAUAGAGGAAGCACCGGCUAACUUCGUGCCACAGCCCGCGGUAAUACGAAGGGUGCAAGCGUUGUUCCGGAUUUAUUGGGGCGUUAAAGCGCGCGUAAGCGAAACCCCAAAGUCAGAUUGUGAAAUCUCGAAGGCUCAAACCUCNAAAACUGCGUUCUUGAAACUUACCGGGGUCUUAGA
rnacentral:rRNA from 1 species